GCGUGUGCUGCGCACGCGCACAGGGCACCAGGUCGCCGCUCUCGGGUGUGACGACUGUGGUGUUCGGGAGCUGGAGGUAGUAGGGGUAUCCACGCUGUGUGAGUCCUCCUUGAUCUGUAAUGGGAAUGCCCCUUACUCAGUAUCCAGUGGAUAUGGCCAUGGGUCAAGACACUCUGCUUCAUGGAGAAAUCUUGUUUGCUAUUCCCAACACAGAUUUGGACCACAUAGCCCUUCCAUUUCUCACCAUCAGCAGCAACUUCUAUGACCGUUGACUUCUCAUGAAAGCUCUGUACCUUCAGGACUCUGUUCUUCAAGAGAGCAGCUCCGUGAAGGGGAGGAUAACCACUGGACUUCUAGAAGGCACAUCACUAGCCUUGUGAAUAAGAAAGUGUUUAUAGUGGUCUAUAAGAUUCCAAGAUGUGGCCAUUGACUUCUCCCAAGAAGAAUGGGGAUUCCUGAACCCUGCUCAGAGAAAAUUAUACACAGCUGUGAUGUCAGAGAAUUAUCAGAAUGUGGUCUGGCUAGAUACCUCUAGUCCCAUGGGAUCUGCCCAGUGAUGGCCCAGGCAGCAAGACUGCUCAUAACACAACUUGGACUUUGUUCUGGGUCUCAAUGGAAACUGGUCCUUUCUGCAUUACCCUGUAAGGGGAUCAGAACAGUAUUUGCAAGAUGGAAUAUGCUACCUCCUCUCAAGUACUGUACCUCUUUCUUGAUAGAAGAGCAGAUGUGUCCUACCAGGUCAUCUGGAUUACUUGCCACUUUGUGUUGUUCAGUUCUCAUGAACAUGAUAUCAUCAACAUAGUGGACCAGUGUGAUGUUCUACAGAAUGAUCAGAUACUCCAGAGUCUUCAGAUUAUGCUGUGAUAGAGAGCAGGAGAAUUGACUUCACUACUGGGCCAAGACCCUUGGAUCAGUCUGUUUGGGCUGCCAUAAUAAAGCUCCCUAGACUGGAUGGUGUAAGUAGAGAUAUUUAUUUCCUCAGGCUGGAAGUCUGAGAUCAAAGUGUCAGCAGUGUUGGUUUCUCCUGAGGCCUCUCUUCUUGAUUUGUAGAUAGGCCAUCUCUUUCCUGUGUCUUCUGUGGUCUUCCCUCAAUGUGUGUCAGUGUUGUAAUAUAUUCUAAGAAUACAGUCAUACUGUAUUAGGGUCCAUCCUACUGACUUAAUUUUAUCUCUUUUAAAGGUCCUGUCUCAGGGCACAUGGGUGGCUCAGUGUGUGGUCCUGGGGUCCUGGGGUCAAGUCCC